GAAUUUUGGACCAUGGGGGCAACCCUGAUCCAGCCAUCCCGCGUGUGAGAUGAAGGCCUUCGGGUUGUAAAGCACUUUUGGCAGGGAAGAAAAGGCUCUGGCUAAUACCUGGAGCGGCUGACGGUACCGGACGAAUCAGCACCGGCUAACUACGUGCCAGCAGCCGCGGUAAUAACUAGGGUGCAAGCGUUAAUCGGAAUUACUGGGCGUAAAGCGUGCGCAGGCGGUUUGGCAAGAAUGAUGUGAAAUCCCAGGGCUUAACCUUGGAACUGCAUUCUUAACUGCCAGGCUAGAGUAUGUCAGAGGGGGGUAGAAUUCCACGUGUAGCAGUGAAAUGCGUAGAGAUGUGGAGGAAUACCGAUGGCGAAGGCAGCCCCCUGGGAUAAUACUGACGCUCAUGCACGAAAGCGUGGGGAGCAAACA
rnacentral:rRNA from 1 species